rnacentral:rRNA from 1 species
GACGAACGCUGGCGGCGUGCUUAACACAUGCAAGUCGAACGGAAAGGCCCUGCUUUUGUGGGGUGCUCGAGUGGCGAACUGGUGAGUAACACGUGAGUAACCUGCCCUUGCCUUUGGGAUAACUUCAUGAAACUGAGGCUAAUACCGGCUAGGAGCUCCUGCUUCAUGGUGGGGGUUGGAUAGUUUCGGCGGUUGGGGAUGGACUCGCGGCUUAUCAGCUUGUUGGUGGGGUAGUGGCUUACCAAGGCUUUGACGGGUAGCCGGCCUGAGAGGGUGACCGGCCAGAUUGGGACUGAGAGACGGACCAGACUGCGACGGGAGGGAGGAGGGGGGAAGAUUGCACAAUGGGCGGAAGCCUGAUGCAGCAACGCCGGGUGCGGGAUGACGGCAUUCGGGUGGUAAACAGCUUUCGCCUGUGACGAAGCGUGAGGGACGGUAAGGGGGAAAGAAGCACCGGCUAACUACGU